UGGGGAAUUUUGGACAAUGGACGCAAGUCUGAUCCAGCCAUGCCGCGUGCGGGAAGAAGGCCUUCGGGUUGUAGACUGCUUUUGUACGGAACGAAAAGACUCCUUCUAAUAAAGGGGGUCCAUGACGGUACCGUAAGAAUAAGCACCGGCUAACUACGUGCCAGCAGCCGCGGUAAUACGUAGGGUGCAAGCGUUAAUCGGAAUUACUGGGCGUAAAGCGUGCGCAGGCGGUUAUGCAAGACAGAGGUGAAAUCCCCGGGCUCAACCUGGGAACUGCCUUUGUGACUGCAAGGCUAGAGUACGGUAGAGGGGGAUGGAAUUCCGCGUGUAGCAGUGAAAUGCGUAGAUAUGCGGAGGAACACCGAUGGCGAAGGCAAUCCCCUGGACCUGUACUGACGCUCAUGCACGAAAGCGUGGGGAGCAAACA
rnacentral:rRNA from 1 species